UUUCAUAUAUCUGUAUACAAAGCAUAUUCACAACAAUAAGUGUCUUCAUACAUAUACUCUGGAUAAUAAUGUCCAUCACAUCCCACCAUCAUUUCUAACCCAUGUCCUCUCCCUUCCCCUUCCACCCCUCUGCCCUAUCUAGAGUUUGUCUAUUCCUCCCAUGCUCCCACUGCCUACCCCACUAUGAAUCAUCAGCCUCCUUAUAUCAGAGAAAACAUUCGGCAUUUGGAUUUUUGGGAUUGGCUAACUUAACUUAGCAUUAUCUUCUCUAACUCCAUCCAUUUACCUGCGAAUGUCAUGAUUUUACUCUCUUUGAUUGCUGAGUAAUAUUCCAUUGUGUAAAUAUGCCACAUUUUUUAAUCCAUUAAUCUAUUGAAGGGCACCUAGGUUGGUUCCACAGUUUAGCUAUUGUGAAUUGUGCUGCUAUAAAGAUUGAUGUGGCAGUGUCCCUGUAGUGUGCUCUUUUUAAAUCCUUUGGGUAUAGACCCAGGAGAGGGAUAGCUGGGUCAAAUGGUGGUUCCAUUCCCAAUUUUCCAAGAAAUCUCCAUACUGCUUCCCGUAUUGGCUGCACCAAUUUGCAGUCCCACCAGCAGUGUAUGAGUGUACCUUUUUCCCCACAUCCUCAACAACACUUAUUGUUGUUUGUAUUCAUAAUAGCUGCCAUUCUGAUUGGAGUGAGAUGAAAUCUUAGAUUAGUUUUGAUUUGCAUUUCCAAUCAAAACUACUGUAAGAUUUCAUCUCAUUCCAGUCAGAAUGGCAGCUAUUAUGAAUACAAACAACAGUAAGUGUUGAAAAAUUUAAGGUAUGUAAGGGGUUUAUUUCAAAGAAUGCCAUUAAGAUUAUUUAAAUAGGAAGAUCAUCCAGAAAGUACAAAUAAAGUGAGAGGAUCAUAGAUAAUAAGCUUAAGUAUAUAAAACUACCCCCAAAAAAUUUAGUGGUGUACCCUAGAUGACUAAAACUCAAAGUAAAUUGCAGAAAAGCUUUCCACAGGGAUCUAAUGCAUGUAUCAAAAGUCAUUUCAUAGCAUUGUGUAUCUAUUGUUUUAAUUUCUUAGUAUUCAAAAGUUCCCAUAAGUUUUGUUAUUUUCAAAACAAAAGGAAUAGUACACCCAAUGUAUUUUGUUUAC
rnacentral:lncRNA from 1 species